rnacentral:rRNA from 1 species
AACGAACGCUGGCGGCAGGCCUAAGACAUGCAAGUCGAGCGCACCUUCGGGUGAGCGGCGGACGGGUGAGUAACGCGUGGGAAUAUGCCCUUCACUGCGGAAUAGCCUCUGGAAACGGAGAGUAAUACCGCAUACGCCCUUCGGGGGAAAGAUUUAUCGGUGAAGGAUUAGCCCGCGUUGGAUUAGGUAGUUGGUGGGGUAAAAGCCUACCAAGCCGACGAUCCAUAGCUGGUUUGAGAGGAUGAUCAGCCACACUGGGACUGAGACACGGCCCAGACUCCUACGGGAGGCAGCAGUCGGGAAUCUUAGACAAUGGGGGAAACCCUGAUCUAGCCAUGCCGCGUGAGUGACGAAGGCCUUAGGGUCGUAAAGCUCUUUCGCUGGGGAAGAUAAUGACGGUACCCAGUAAAGAAACCCCGGCUAACUCCGUGCCAGCCGCCGCCGUAACAC